GGAGACGUGGCCGAGUGGUCGAAGGCGCUCCCCUGCUAAGGGAGUAGGCCCGGAAGGGUCUCGAGGGUUCGAAUCCCUUCGUCUCCG
rfam:Pseudooctadecabacter jejudonensis strain CECT 8397 genome assembly, contig: 0003